UAUGACGCAGUCUGAACAGCCAUGCCGCGUGCAGGAUGACGGCCCUAUGGGUUGUAAACUGCUUUUGUACGGGAAGAAACCCUCGUUUGCGAACGAGGUUGACGGUACCGUGAGAAUAAGGAUCGGCUAACUUCGUGCCAGCAGCCGCGGUAAUACGAAGGAUCCUAGCGUUGUCCGGAUUUACUGGGUUUAAAGGGUGCGUAGGCGGACUUUUAAGUCAGUGGUGAAAGCCUGCAGCUUAACUGUAGAAUUGCCAUUGAAACUGAUUGUCUCGAGUGCGGUUGAGGUCACUGGAAUGUAUCAUGUAGCGGUGAAAUGCUUAGAUAUGAUACAGAACACCAAUUGCGAAGGCAGGUGACUAAGCCGUAACUGACGCUGAUGCACGAAAGCGUGGGGAUCAAACAGGAUUAGAUACCCUGGUAGUCCACGCCCUAAACGUUGAAUACUCGACCUUAGCGAUAUACAGUUAGGGUCCAAGCGAAAGCGUUAAGUAUUCCACCUGGGAAGUACGAUCGCAAGAUUGAAACUCAGAGGAAUUGACGGGGGCCCGCACAAGCGGAGGAGCGUGUGGUUUAAUUCGAUGAUACGCGAGGAACCUUACCUGGGCUUGAAUGUGAGUGAACGCUGCCGAAAGGUGGGUUCCCUUCGGGGCACA
rnacentral:rRNA from 1 species